rnacentral:rRNA from 1 species
CCUACGGGGGGCAGCAGUAGGGAAUCUUCCACAAUGGGCGAAAGCCUGAUGGAGCAACGCCGCGUGGGUGAAGAAGGUCUUCGGAUCGUAAAACCCUGUUGUUAGAGAAGCAAGUGCGUGAGAGUAACUGUUCACGUUUCGACGGUAUCUAACCAGAAAGCCACGGCUAACUACGUGCCAGCAGCCGCGGCAAUACGUAGGUGGCAUGCGUGAUGCGGAUUUGUUGGGCGUAAAGGGGACGCGGGAGGUCUUUUAAGUCUGAUGUGAAAGCCGUCGGCUUAACCGGAGUAGUGCAUUGGAAACUGGGAGACUUGAGAGCAUAAGAGGAGAGUGGAACUCCAAGUGUAGGGGUGAAAUGCGUAGAUAUUUGGAAGAACACCAGUGGCGAAGGCGGCUUUCUGGGCUGGAACUGACGCUGAGGUUCGAAAGCGUAGGUAGCAAACAGGAUUAGAUACCCCAGUAGUC